UUAGCUGUGCUUGAAGAAAAAGGGCGAAGAUCAAGUGUUGUUUCUGUUCUUAGCAUUUUAAUAUCUGAUACGCCCCUUAUCUGGGAACCAUAUAUUAAAUUGAUUUUUGGAGCAGGGAGAUAGAAUAGGGGCUUGCUCGGUCCACUCCACACAUCGACCUGGCAUUGCAGUACUUCUGUGAACAGUGCACAAAAA